UUUGAGGGAAAGUAAAUAGGGGGAGUAAAAUUUUGGAGGGAAAAUAUUAAAAAAAAAUUGGAGGGGGGAGGGUUUGGGGUAGAUGGGAGGUGGAAUGGGAAGAGAAUAAAAGUUUUAGGGGAAAAGUGGAAGGGAGUAAAAAUUUUGGGAAAAAAUAAAAGGUUUUGAGGGAUUUGGGGAGUAAAAUUUUGAGAAAAAGUAAAUGGAGAGUAGAAUUUUGGUGGGAAAUGGAUUUUGGGUAGAUUGGGGGGUUGGGAGGGGAUGGGAGUAAAAGUUUUGGGGGGAAGUGGGAAGGAGUAAAAGUUUUGAGGGAAAAAUAAAAAGGUUUGGGAAUUUAGGGUAAAAAUGUAAAAUAUUAUAGUUUGAUAUUCGAAUUAUUCUAAUUAUUCGAGUUAUUCGAAUUCGAAAACUCAACUCGAUUCGAACUCAAAAUU
rnacentral:lncRNA from 1 species